rnacentral:rRNA from 1 species
UACAGAGGUCCCAAGCGUUGUUCGGAUUCACUGGGCGUAAAGGGUGCGUAGGCGGUCGGGUAAGUCUGAUGUGAAAUCUCACAGCUUAACUGUGAAACUGCAUUGGAUACUAUCCGGCUAGAGGAAUGGAGGGGAGACUGGAAUACUUGGUGUAGCAGUGAAAUGCGUAGAUAUCAAGUGGAACACCAGUGGCGAAGGCGAGUCUCUGGACAUUUCCUGACGCUCAGGCACGAAAGCGUGGGGAGCAAAAGGG